UUUGACGGUCAUAGCGGUGGGGACACACCCGGUCUCUUUCCGAACCCGGCAGUUAAGCCCACCAGCGUUCGGCGCUGUACUGCGGUGCGCGAGCCCGCGGGAACCGCCGAUCGCCGUCUGCC
rnacentral:rRNA from 1 species